UACGUAGGGGGCUAGCGUUGUCCGGAAUCAUUGGGCGUAAAGCGCGCGUACGCGGUCAGAUAAGUCCGGUGUGAAAGUCAAAGGCUCAACCUUUGAAUGCCGCUGGAAACUGUCUGGCUAGAGUCCGGAAGGGGCGAGUGGAACUCCUGGUGUAGCGGUGAAAUGCGCAGAUAUCAGGAAGAACACCAAUGGCGAAGGCAGCUCGCUAGGACGGUACUGACGCUGAGGCGCGAAAGCGUGGGGAGCGAACAGG
rnacentral:rRNA from 1 species